ensembl:lncRNA
CUCCCGGUCAGAAAAGUCGGCGGGCGGCAGAGCGCCCUGUUGGCCGGCGUUCACCUUGGCUUGGGUGGCCUGGGUGCAGACGUCCCCCGCUCAGGGUUUCCUUAGCUCCCCGAAAGUGGGAAAGCCUCACUUUUACCUGGGGCGACGUUUCAAUACACAGAUCAUAAAAUCUCAGGAGAUGAGACUUGGAGUCCACCCACAAGUUCUGAAACUCCUCUCAAGUAAGAAGCCUCAAAUCUCCUCAGUGACCAGAAGCGACCCACCCCACCCCCACCGCGCCCUGCGUGGCCGCCCGUCGUCGUUAACAUUUUUGAUGGUCAACGUCAUUGAAAAGUGUUUUCUUCCACCUAUCCAUUGCUUUGACUUCUGGACUUGGCUCCAUGAGUCAAAUCGAACUUCCUUCUGUGAGCUCUUCCAACCAUUUAUAAAUAUCUGUCAUAGUAACCCAUCACCGUGCGCCCUUUUUGAAAGACCCCUCAAAGUUCCCUCUUCAACCGCAACCUCAUUUUGUGUGUUCUUCAGCUAGUAUACUCCCCAGAACGUGACUCAGUACUUAAAAGUGUUCCAGCAAGCUGGAGAAAAUGGCCUUCCUUGCCCAGAUAUCCUACAUGUGUUGAUGCCGCCUUGGAUGGAGUUUAUUUUCUGGCACUCAAAUCAGUGUUGACUCACGUUACACUGAAAAUCAACUAACUUUCUCAAAAAAUUUUUUUAUCCGUGUACUGCUGUGCAGUCAUGUUCAUGGUUCCCAAGUUUGUGAAGUCGGUAGACGGUGCCCAAGAUUUGAGCUUUGUUGUUUCUCUUAUUAGACGCUGUCCUCUCAGAGUUAGUCCAUCAUUGUAGCUCGUUGAGAUGUUUGGGAAAGCUGAGCCCGCCGGGUAGUAGUUCUUUGAUUAUGUUCCUGCUUUUUGCCUUUUUGAUUAAUUUGCUGUUUGUCUUCAGAUAAAAUAUCUGAAAGGGAAGAGCUAAGGACAGACCUGGGUGGGAUUUAAGUAGAUACUGGAGCUUCCUUUUAACCAUUCUAGUGAUUCUCAACUUUGACUGCACCUGGAAUACGAAAAGAGUUCAAAACCACGCCUGAGUGUGUUUGCACCUGUGUGCACCAUCAUGAGACUCUACUUAAUUGGUCUGGGUUAAGACCUGAGCCUCAGGAUCCUGUUAGGCAACCAAGUUGAGAAUCUCUGGCAUCUCCAACUUGAGCCGGGCUUACCCCUGAGGACUAUGAAAUCAACAGAAUUGAAAUAUAUCAUAGUUUGCUGAUGAUAUUUUGAGAAGUUCAACAACCUGGAUGUCCUACCAAUAUCCUAUUGAUACUUCCCUGGCUGCUGAAGCCCAGGACCUUUAAUUCAGAAACAGGGAAAACAACUGAAGCCUUCGGAGAUGGGGAUACCAUGUUUUAGGAAAAGUACAAAAUGAAGAGUAAUCUCUCUGGAAUAUGAAGAACAAGAUGGGAAGGACUGCAGACACUAAGUCAGCUGCUAUUGCUAUCAGUCUCUCAGUUCAACAACAGCAAAAGAAAAGAUGAGGGGUAAAUGAAAUUCGGAUGCAGUGGGAGGAACAGAGGACUCAGGGAAGUAACUGAGGAGAUUCAUCGUUAGAAUUGCAAGCAGCUGGAUAAUCAGCACCAAGUUCUUAUCUCUUGCAAACAAAUGAAGCAUAUCCCAGAAGUCUGUAGUUUAAAGCAAAAGAAGCAUAAUGUUAUAUGACCUACUUUGAAAAGUUGAAAACAGCCCACUUGAGAAAUCAAGGAAGGCAGAGUGACACUGAAUGGAAUAAGUUGGGGACCAGAAGACUUGCUUGUCAAUUUUUAAAUUAUGGUUUUGCUGUUAAACUAGUGUAUGAUAACCACCCUUUCUUUCUAAUUUUACGAAGUACUGUAAUUAAUACGUGCCAAGCUCUGCACCAAGUACAAUGACUACAUGCAAGACAGAAAUACAGAUUAUGUUUGUGAUCACCAGGGUUGAAUUCCAUCAAGGAUGACCUGCUAGUAUUAAGUAAUAACAUGUGGUCAGAGUUAUGGACAGGGAGCCCAAGGACCUGAAGGGAACAAUUGUAAGGCAACACUUGCCAUUGAAGGGGUCAAGAAAGGCUUUUUAGAGAAAGACAUCCUAUACUUCAGGGGUCUCCAACCUUCAGGAUCUAAUGCCUGAUGAUUUGAGGUGAUGCUGAUGUAAUAA